rnacentral:rRNA from 1 species
CCCGGGCCUUGUACACACCGCCCGUCAAGCCAUGAAAGCCGGGGGUGCCUGAAGCAUGUGACCGCAAGGAGCGUGUCAGGGCAAAACUGGUAAUUGGGGCU